rnacentral:siRNA from 1 species
UGAUACUCGGCCAUGUUGC